AGACCCGAAACCCGGUGAUCUAGCCAUGGGCAGGUUGAAGGUUGGGUAACACUAACUGGAGGACCGAACCGACUAAUGUUGAAAAAUUAGCGGAUGACCUGUGGCUGGGGGUGAAAGGCCAAUCAAACCGGGAGAUAGCUGGUUCUCCCCGAAAGCUAUUUAGGUAGCGCCUCGUGAAUUCAUCUCCGGGGGUAGAGCACUGUUUCGGCUAGGGGGCCAUCCCGGCUUACCAACCCGAUGCAAACUGCGAAUACCGGAGAAUGUUAUCACGGGAGACACACGGCGGGUGCUAACGUCCGUCGUGAAGAGGGAAACAACCCAGACCGCCAGCUAAGGUCCCAAAGUCAUGGUUAAGUGGGAAACGAUGUGGGAAGGCCCAGACAGCCAGGAUGUUGGCUUAGAAGCAGCCAUCAUUUAAAGAAAGCGUAAUAGCUCACUGGUCGAGUCGGCCUGCGCGGAAGAUGUAACGGGGCUAAACCAUGCACCGAAGCUGCGGCAGCGACACUGUGUGUUGUUGGGUAGGGGAGCGUUCUGUAAGCCUGUGAAGGUGUGUCGUGAGGCAUGCUGGAGGUAUCAGAAGUGCGAAUGCUGACAUAAGUAACGAUAAAGCGGGUGAAAAGCCCGCUCGCCGGAAGACCAAGGGUU
rnacentral:rRNA from 1 species